GUCCGAGUUGCAUAUGUCCAUCGUUUUUCAGACAAACACAUUUUCGGAUAUUUUAGAAAAUGUUUUAGAUCUUUCAGUUGAUUAAAUGUAAUGUUACGGGGUCCAGCCAUAGUCCACGACCCUCAAGUCCAAAAAAAGUGCGUCCAUACUUCACAAAUUAAAUCCAAACGGCUCCAGGAUGAUAAACAAAGGUCUUCUGAGGGUAAUCCGCGCGGUGUUGUUGUAGAAAUAUCCAUAUUUAAAACUUUAUUAACGUAAAUAAAUACCUUCCGGUAGCGCCGCCAUCUUAGUCGCGUCCGCAUUCAGGAUGAGAGCUUACGCAGCCUACGGAGGCUACUCUGCUGCUGAUCUGUGCCCCCGCCCUCCGAAUUUGUCAUACGUCAGUAGUUAUAACGGGCCAGCAUUCGUCAAACUUUUAUGACCCCCUCCCCCACCCGGUGACAGUUGCUGACUGACAGGUCGUUUUUAUGACCCUUUGACAGGGGGGCGGGACCAUCAAUCAAAAUCUGUACAAGUUGUCAACUUUAGACAGAAAGUAUUUAAUGGUUUUAUUGCCGGUCAUUUAGAGUGAUUGUUUUUCCUGAGUGUGUUUUAUGUCAAGCGUAUGGUGUCAUGUUUAAUGACGGCUCGUGUUUGUGACAUUUGCUGUCUAUCACCCCUCCCUUUUCGACCCGUGCGCUUCUCACCACUGCGUGUCACACAGUGAUGUGUGUGUUGUUGAAUCUAAAGUUUUGCAACAUCAAAAGUUUAUUUAAAGGCAAUCACUAAUUAUAUAUAUAUAUAUAUAUAUAUAUAUAUAUAUAUAUAUAUAUAUGUAUGUAUGUAUUAGAUGUAGCUGGUUAAACUUAAAGGCCGAUAUUUUCUAUCGAACUAGUCUAUUUUCUGUUCAGACACAAAGUUUUCUGAUGCUGAUAUUAUGUCAGUGUGUGUUUGUGUGGGGGUCGUGUGCUGUAAUCUUUGAAAGUUUAUGACCGAACCUUUAUUGGGGAGCGACAAGAGAUCUCCCGGACUCAGUUUGGAUGGAGCAGAGCUGUUAUACUCAAGUCUAUUGCGAAAUUGUCUAAACUGGUAUUAACUAUUCCUGGUAAAUCGCGGACAAGAGUGGCCUGAACAAAAAAGUCAGCCCGAGACUAGAACCUCCCGCAGCGUAACAAGGAAAUCUUGGAGCAAAGAGACGCCGAGUGGCUCGUGUUGUGCGGUUUGGAUAUCUGCUGCAAUGCGAACGUUGUGUGUACUAUUGCAAAAUAGCGGAUCUCCCCGGUUAGGAUACAGACCACAACGCUUUGGACGUAUCUUUAAAAAAGAGAAAAAUCAGAGACUUUUUGGAUUUGUCUGGGGACAUUUUAAACAUUUUGUGUCAAAUUGGAUUUAAAACAUUUCGGAUACUGGAUACCUAGUUUGAUUUGUCCACAGAUCUUGUUUAAGACGUUUUCACCUCAUUUUAGGGUUUAUUUUUAAUUAAAGGCUUCUUAAAACAUGUAUGAAAAUGUGUAUAUUAUACAAUGAGUCUUAUAUUGUCUGCUCUGACAAAAAUAAAUUAUUAUUUUAGAUCUUA